rnacentral:rRNA from 1 species
UGGGGAAUUUUGGACAAUGGGCGAAAGCCUGAUCCAGCCAUGCCGCGUGAGUGAAGAAGGCCUUCGGGUUGUAAAGCUCUUUUAGUCGGAAAGAAAGAGUUGCAAUGAAUAAUUGUGAUUUAUGACGGUACCGACAGAAAAAGCACCGGCUAACUACGUGCCAGCAGCCGCGGUAAUACGUAGGGUGCGAGCGUUAAUCGGAAUUACUGGGCGCAAAGGGUGCGCAGGCGGUCUUGCAAGUCAGAUGUGAAAGCCCCGGGCUUAACCUGGGAAUUGCGUUUGAAACUACAAGGCUAGAGUGCAGCAGAGGGGAGUGGAAUUCCAUGUGUAGCAGUGAAAUGCGUAGAGAUGUGGAAGAACACCGAUGGCGAAGGCAGCUCCCUGGGUUGACACUGACGCUCAUGCACGAAAGCGUGGGGAGCAAACA